rnacentral:rRNA from 1 species
AUUGACGCUGGCGGAAUGCUUUACGAUCAUGCGUAGUCGAACGGUAGAGAGGUCACUGCUUCAGAGUGGCGAACGGGUGAGUAAUAUAUCGGAACGUGUCCAGUCGUGGGGGAUAACGUAGUGAAAAUUACGCUAAUGCCGCAUACGAUCUAAGGAUGAAAGCGGGGGAUCGCAAGACCUCGCGCGACUGGAGCGGCCGAUAGCAGAUUAGGUAGUUGGUAGGGUAAAGGCCUACCAAGCCAACGAUCUGAUAGCUGGUCUCAGAGGACGACCAGCCACACUGGAACUGAGACACGGUCCAGACUCCUACGGGAGGCAGCAGUGGGGAAUUUUGGACAAUGGGCGAAAGCCUGAUCCAGCCAUUCCGCGUGCAGGAUGAAGGCCCUCGGGUUGUAAACUGCUUUUGUACAGAACGAAAAGGUUUCUAUUAAUACUAGGAGCUCAUGACGGUACUGUAAGAAUAAG